AACCGGAUUAGAUACCCUGGUAGUCCACGCCCUAAACGAUGUCUACUAGUUGUCGGGUUUUAAUUAACUUGGUAACGCAGCUAACGCGUGAAGUAGACCGCCUGGGGAGUACGGUCGCAAGAUUAAAACUCAAAGGAAUUGACGGGGACCCGCACAAGCGGUGGAUGAUGUGGAUUAAUUCGAUGCAACGCGAAAAACCUUACUUACCCUUGACAUGUACGGAAGACCGAAGAGAUUUGGUUGUGCUCGAAAGAGAACCGUAACACAGGUGCUGCAUGGCUGUCGUCAGCUCGUGUCGUGAGAUGUUGGGUUAAGUCCCGCAACGAGCGCAACCCUUGUCAUUAGUUGCUACAUUUAGUUGAGCACUCUAAUGAGACUGCCGGUGACAAACCGGAGGAAGGUGGGGAUGACGUCAAGUCCUCAUGGCCCUUAUGGGUAGGGCUUCACACGUCAUACAAUGGUACAUACAGAGGGCCGCCAACCCGCGAGGGGGAGCUAAUCCAAGAA
rnacentral:rRNA from 1 species